rnacentral:tRNA from 1 species
GAGGGUAUAAAAACAGUGGUAGAGUGUGUGCUUAGCAUGCAUGAGAUCCUGGGUUCAAUCCCCAGUACCUCCA